rnacentral:lncRNA from 1 species
GAGUUCAUACCAAGAAAACUCAGACAGAGACAGAGAAAAAGGAGGCGCAGCUUAAGGGAAAAAAACUAUAAGCAGAAAUAGAGAUGUAGAGAGAGAGAGGUAGAGAGGACAAAAGUAGUACAAAGGGCAAAGACCAUCAUCUACAUAUCGAACACGGGAGACAUGUUAGCCCAUAUAUAUCUAGUUUUGUUUCCCAAAAAGAAGCUGAGUUACAUUAAGCGCAAACUUAUAAGCAGAAAUAGAGAUAUAUAUAGAGAGAGAGGUAGAGAGGACAAAAGUAGUACAAAGGGCAAAGACCAUCAUCUACAUCUCGAACACGGGAGACAUGUUAGCCCAUAUAUAUCUAGUUUUGUUUCCCAAAAAGAAGCUGAGUUACAUUAAGCGCAAACCUAUAUUUAGACAAUUUUGUUAGUCUAACUUAAUUAUACUAUUCUGGGGGUUUGUGAUAUUUGCUGAACUUGCCCUC